CUAAUAUAGUAAAUUAGUAAUAACUCAAAUAUUGAUAAAACAAAACACAAAAAUGUUAGUGCUUGCAUGUUCAUCUUUUGGGGAGCCGAAUGUUGGAGAAGAAAAGCUUUGAAAUUUCGGCAAUUUGAGAUCAAAAUUCAAGGAGGCUGAUGCAUAAAACAGAGUUUACUUCAGACUUCACAGGAUUUAAGAAAGAUGGGGCACAAUGGUUGGUUGAUAACACAGACAUCAAACUUGUAGAUCAAGAAAUACAAAAUCUGAGCCUAGACCGGGAGAAGGCCAAGCAAGUAGAUUAAAUUCAACUAGUCGCCCACUUUUUGUAUACCGAGUGCCGCCAAGCUAGUAUCAAGGAUCAAGGGACGUCGGAGGCAUCGAUCACACUAUCACCUGAAGCUUUGGUAUAGCUAGCUUAAUAUUUUGAUUGUGGCAUGUAUAGCGACUUGAAUCUUUUGUUUAGUGCCUUUUUAGUUUAGCCACAAGUGUUGGCUCAUAUGAUGGAUGCGAUAUUCAUUUUGUAUAGGCCAUUAAUGUUGGCUAAUAUUGAUUAUUAUUAAAUGCAUUUGAUGCAAAUUUCUCA